GAGGGUAUAGCUCAAGUGGUAGAGCACAUGCUCAGCACGCAAGAGGUCCCGGGUUCAAUCCCCAGUACCUGCU
rfam:Camelus ferus unplaced genomic scaffold scaffold86, whole genome shotgun sequence.